AUUGAACGCUGGCGGCAUGCCUUACACAUGCAAGUCGAACGGCAUCGCGGGAAAGCUUGCUUUCCUGGCGGCGAGUGGCGAACGGGUGAGUAACACAUCGGAACGUACCGGCUAGUGGGGGAUAACCCGUCGAAAGACGGGCUAAUACCGCAUACGCUCUUCGGAGGAAAGCAGGGGACCUUUGGGCCUUGCGCUAGCCGAGCGGCCGAUGUCCGAUUAGCUAGUUGGUGGGGUAAAGGCCUACCAAGGCGACGAUCGGUAGCGGGUCUGAGAGGACGAUCCGCCACACUGGGACUGAGACACGGCCCAGACUCCUACGGGAGGCAGCAGUGGGGAAUCUUGGACAAUGGGGGCAACCCUGAUCCAGCAAUGCCGCGUGGGUGAAGAAGGCCUUCGGGUUGUAAAGCCCUUUCGGCAGGGAAGAAAUCGGCGGGGCGAAUAACCCUGCUGGAUGACGGUACCUGCAGAAGAAGCACCGGCUAACUACGU
rnacentral:rRNA from 1 species